rnacentral:rRNA from 1 species
CAGGACGAACGCUGGCGGCGUGCCUAACACAUGCAAGUCGAGCGAGGAGAUUCCUUCGGGAUGAUCCUAGCGGCGGACGGGUGAGUAACACGUGGGCAACCUGCCUCAUAGAGAGGAAUAGCCUUCCGAAAGGAGAUUAAUACCUCAUAACAUUGCAGUUUCGCAUGGAACAGCAAUUAAAGGAGUAAUCCGCUAUGAGAUGGGCCCGCGGCGCAUUAGCUAGUUGGUGAGGUAACGGCUCACCAAGGCGACGAUGCGUAGCCGACCUGAGAGGGUGAUCGGCCACAUUGGGACUGAGACACGGCCCAGACUCCUACGGGAGGCAGCAGUGGGGAAUAUUGCACAAUGGGGGAAACCCUGAUGCCAGCAACGCCGCGUGAGUGAUGACGGCCUUCGGGUUGUAAAGCUCUGUCUUCAGGGACGAUAAUGACGGUACCUGAGGAGGAAGCCACGGCUAACUACGUGCCAGCCGCGGC